rnacentral:rRNA from 1 species
ACGCUCGACACCUACGGGGGGCAGCAGUGGGGAAUAUUGCACAAUGGGGGAAACCCGUGAUGCAGCGACGCCGCGUGAAGGAAGAAGUAUCUCGGUAUGUAAACUUCUAUCAGCAGGGAAGAAAAUGACGGUACCUGACUAAGAAGCCCCGGCUAACUACGUGCCAGCAGCCGCGGUAAUCUGAGCGGGCUGGCAAGGC